AUCUUCAGAUAGGCUACUCAGCUACAUUUAAGAAAUUAUUUAAAAAAUAAACUUAUAAAGAACACUUGCAGACAGGUAUCUUGUGAUGGGGAGUAGGAAAAAAGGCGCUCCUAGGCCUUCUCUUGACAUCAGCGGAGACUCGUUCCCUGCUGCAUUUGUGUAUUGUUGACGCAGAAGUAUCUUAUAUUGGUCCACUUUUGUGGCCUUUUUAUAAUUUUUUGUGAAGUUGAAGACUUCAUCUUCUAUCGCUAAAUCAAUGAGCAAACUCUGAGCACUUCACCGGCGAUGACUCUCUUCCCAGGGGAUGCUGAGCUCGCGCCGCAUCCUGAACGCUCUCUAACUGUUAUAUCGCACUUUGUAAAGAAACUGGUCUGACGGAUAUUGCGUUUUGUGAAAAAAAAUACGUUUUGUACUUGGCCUAAAAUGUGCAUUCUUAAAUGUUAUUAAUGGCAGCAAUUCACACAUAGAUUAAGGUACAUCUGAACAGUGAUUUCCAAUAAUAAAAUCCAAAUGUCAAAAAAUGCCGUUUAUCGCAUUUUGCAACCAAACUCUUCAUAUGUAUGUGUGUGUUAUGACUGUAUGACUGCAGAAGAGAACUGCUCUGUUCCCACAACUCAGUUUUUCUGGGACUUGAAAACAGACGCUCAGCAGAUUUUAAAGGGUGGAAUCUUGAUCAAAUCGUGGGUUUACACACAAACAUGUAAUACAGUGCCAGAUUUUCUGGAUGUUAUAUACACAUUUGUAUUUGCAAACAUAUACCAUAUUGUUUUAAAUGAUGUAUUUUUGUGUGGGUUUUUACAUUCAGAGAAAGUUACAGUGGAUCGUGAUUUUGGAGGAGGUGAAGUCCAAUCUAAAAGAGUCCCCUCAAGUAUCAUCACCAUGGUACAGUGUCUGUGAAGAUAGUGAAGCAGACCCAGCAUUCACAAAAAAGAGAGGUCCCAUAAAGAGAAGAUCCUGGAGCAAACAGGAAGUGCAUGCUGUGGUGAAAGCUGAACCAUUGGCUCUAAAAACCAGAGAUCAGCUUUGGAUUUUUAUAUUAAAAACUGAAUCUCGGCUCUUUAGAUAAAAAAUCUGAAUAACACUUUUAUAACUCAAAGGAAGAUAACUUAGAUGAAGUGCAAGAACUCCUCAUCCUCCAUAGACAGCAAGGGAUUGAAACAAUUUGAAGGAGAGGAAUUAAUAAAAGAAUCUUCAUUUUGAGGUGAACUAACCGUUUAAUAUUAUUUGCUAUUGCACUUAACUAAAUGUGCACGCAGACAUGGAAGAGUUAUGUGGAAGCUUGUUAUACCCAAUGAGAACUGCUUUUAGACAUGCAAGAGAGUUUCAUGGAUUUUGUGUUUACUGUUUUUUUUUGUGUUUAAAGGUUUUGUGGAAAUUAUUUAUAAUAAAUAUAACAUUUAUUAAAUCUAUUCUGGACCAUUUCCUGUUUGGAUCUUGAGGUUCCUUCUGUAUUCAAAUUACAUUUUUUAUAAACUGACCUGCUCUUCAAAUG